CUGGGAGAGGCCACGCGCCCCUGGGUCCAGGUGAGGCCACGCGCCCCUGGAUCCGGGUGAGGCCUUGCACCCCU
rnacentral:pre_miRNA from 1 species